AUUGAACGCUGGCGGCAGGCCUAACACAUGCAAGUCGAACGAGUGGCGGACGGGUGAGUAAUGUCUGGGAAACUGCCCGAUGGAGGGGGAUAACUACUGGAAACGGUAGCUAAUACCGCAUACCAUCGGAUGUUCCCAGAUGGGAUUAGCUUGUAGGUGAGGUAACGGCUCACCUCGGCGACGAUCCCUAGCUGGUCUGAGAGGAUGAACAGACACACGGGAACUGAGACACGGGCCAGAAGCCUACGGGAGUGAGCAGUGGGGAAGAUGGCACAAUGGGCGAAAGCCUGAGGCAGCCAUGCCGCGUGUAUGAAGAAGGACUUCGGUUUUUAAAGUACUGUCAGCGGGGAGGCGUUACCCGCAGAAGAAGCACCGACUAACUCCGGGCCAGCAGCCGCGGUAAUAC
rnacentral:rRNA from 1 species